CGUACCAAGGCAUUCCUUUCGAAAGUUCUUUGAGGACACCGGUAUACCGAAUCUGUCAUUGUUUUCAUAGUGAAAAAUUCUGAAAUUGACUUAUUUCGUUGACAAAACACGAUGAACUACGUAUAAUUAAACACGGUGGCCGCAUACGAGAAAAGGCGGUCAAUAUGCGUAGGAGGAAUCUCAUCAUGACUGGUAAGGUAAAAUGGUUCAGUGCAGAAAAAGGUUACGGCUUUAUUUCCCGGGAAAACGGCAACGAUGUUUUCGUUCAUUUCUCGGCAAUUCAGGACGAGGGCUUCAAGACUCUGAAUGAAGGCCAGACCGUCGAGUUCGACAUUGUCGAAGGCGCACGCGGCCCGCAGGCAGCCAACGUCGUAAAAGCUUAAUCAU
rnacentral:sRNA from 1 species